GGAGAGGUGGCCGAGUGGCUUAAGGCAGCAGUUUGCUAAACUGCGGGGCCCUAAAAGGCCCCUCAUGGGUUCGAAUCCCAUCCUCUCCG
rfam:Candidatus Doudnabacteria bacterium RIFCSPHIGHO2_01_52_17 rifcsphigho2_01_sub10_scaffold_7279, whole genome shotgun sequence.